rnacentral:rRNA from 1 species
UGGGGAAUCUUGGACAAUGGGCGCAAGCCUGAUCCAGCCAUGCCGCGUGAGUGAAGAAGGCCUUCGGGUUGUAAAGCUCUUUUACCAGGGACGAUAAUGACGGUACCUGGAGAAUAAGCCCCGGCAAACUUCGUGCCAGCAGCCGCGGUAAUACGAAGGGGGCUAGCGUUGUUCGGAAUUACUGGGCGUAAAGCGCACGUAGGCGGAUUGUUAAGUCAGAGGUGAAAUCCCGGAGCUCAACUUCGGAACUGCCUUUGAUACUGGCAAUCUAGAGUCCGGAAGAGGUUAGUGGAAUUCCCAGUGUAGAGGUGAAAUUCGUAGAUAUUGGGAAGAACACCAGUGGCGAAGGCGGCUAACUGGUCCGGUACUGACGCUGAGGUGCGAAAGCGUGGGGAGCAAACAGGAUUAGAUACCCUAGUAGUCCCUGAGCGGGCUGGCAAGGCGCAU